rnacentral:lncRNA from 1 species
GCCACCUGCGCGCCGGCCGCCCUGCCCAGGCCCUGCGCCCGCGUGCCGCGGUGUUUUCAGCGGCUGGCAGGAGCUCCUUCUCAACCGUUAGCACCCAAAGAGAAUCCCAACAGCACACUUCCAGCGCGGAUUAAAACAAACAAACAAACAACAACAACAACAAAAACGAGACGCUGCCUGUUGGUUUGUAACUAUCAAUUGAUGUGUUCUAUCCCAAAGUGGUUGACUUCACAUUGACAUAUAAUGCAUAUGGCGAAUACGUACUACACGCGCAUGCAGUCCUCGCUUGCACGGUAAUUCUGGACGCUGGAAAUGACUGAACCAUGCAAAACUACCUUAAUAAUCACUGGGAAAAAUUAAGAUUGUUUCACGACUUUAAACAGUUUUUCUCAAAACAUUCAAAGCAGUCCGGGCACGGUGGCUCACGCCUGUAAUCCCAGCACUUUGGGAGGCCCAGACGGGAAGAUGGCAUGAGCCCAGGAGUUCGAGACCAGCCCUGGGCAACACAGUGAGACCCGGUCUCUACAAAAUAAAAAAAAAAAAUUAGCCAGGCGUGGUGGUGUGCACCUGUAGUCCCAGCUUCUCAGGAGAAUGAGGGGGGAGAAUCACUUGAGCCCCGGAAGCCGAGGUUGCAGUGAGCCAAGGUCGCACCACAGCACUCCAGCCUGGGUGACAGAGCAAGUCCUUGUCUUGGAAAGAACAAACAACAACAAAAGAACCAUUCAAAACUCGCUUAACUGAUGGUUACAAAUACCCUGUAUAUGGAAAUGAAAAAAAAUCAGUUUAAAACAUUCAAACAUUGAGAAUUAAAGUAUUUUUUGUGUUUGUAAAAAUAAAGCUUAUUAAGAAUAACUUGAACAG